rnacentral:rRNA from 1 species
CAGGUACAGAGGGAUGCUACCGGGCGACCGGAUGCGGAUCUCGAAAGCCUGUCCCAGUUCGGACUGGAGUCUGCAACCCGACUCCACGAAGUUGGAUUCGCUAGUAAUCGCGCAUCAGCCAUGGCGCGGUGAAUACGUUCCCGGGCCUUGUACACACCGCCCGUCAAGCCAUGGGAGCCGGGGGCGCCUGAAGUGCGUAACCGCAAGGAGCGCCCUAGGGUAAAACUGGUGACUGGGGCUAAGUCGUAACAAGGUACC